UUUUCAUUGUUUUUCACCAUGUUAACUGUGAAUGACAAUGAAAAACCUUUGAUGGUCACCAUGUUAAAAGUUUUUUUAUCAUGUUAACUAAAAUGGCAAAGGAAAAGUGCAGAUGCUUGGGAGUACUACAAGGCUGCUUUGGACAAUUGCCAACGUGCGGUGAGCUUUCCCGUGACCCGUUGAAAAUGUUAACUGAGAUGGCAGAGGACAAGUGCAGACAUACUCCACAGACCACAUCCUGUCGUUUCCAAUGGGAGGCAAGUGAGCCGAGGUCACUGUCUGAAGCAGUGGGAAGAUGCAACUGGCCAUGACCGGGGGAUGAUUCUCUGAGUUGGCACGCAACAUCAUGUUCGAUGCCAUUCCAAUGCUCCGUUCCAGCCAUUAUUAUGAGCCGUCGUCCCCUCAGCAGCCUCCACUGGUCAAAUAGUGUGUCUAUUGGUCAGAAUGGGAGUCCAAAUAGUCUUGCAUUACAGGAGUAAUAUAAUCUUGGUUUCUGUAAAGUGUGUCAGUGAGUGGAUCCUAGUCUAGUUUGAGGUGGAAGAAGCAUGGCAUAUUUUAAUGUAUUUGUUUUAAAUCAACUUACUUACAUUUCCAUGUGUCAAUCCAUCGUAUUGCUUCCCGAAGGAAAUCCAGCUUGAAGCUGUUCUCUUGUCUGAGAGCCCUCCUCCAUGGAUUUCUAUCCCAGCAAGAUCUAGAAGGAAAAAGCUUGUUGGUUUGAUAGUGAUUUCUAUGUGCAAGGUUUUCAACUGUGUAAUACACCCUGUACUGAUUGCAUUUACAUUUGAUUUACGAUACCUUGAGUUCAGAACGUCAAACAAAUUGUUCAUUUUUUCCAGGAAAUGGUCUGUGCAUUCCACCUCCUUAGGUAGUUUGCCUAGCUGCAUCAUAGUUUGCAUCCCUUGAGGAAGUAAAGCGUUCGUUAGUACUACUACAUUAUGUUUUACGAUGUUCCAUCUUUUCAUGCCAACAUUUAUUAAUAUUUGUAUAGUUAUGUGGUAGUACAGUAUUUUCAACCAAUAACAGGUUAGUGUAGUGUCUUGAAUGUAUAAAGUGUAUGAAUUUGUAAAUUGUCACUAUUUGCAUAUACACUGCUCAAAAAAAUAA